UGGCAGAACAGCGACCCAGAGGGAGAUCACUUUGGCCUACCAUCGGAGGGCGCUGG
rnacentral:SRP_RNA from 1 species